GUUUAAUGAAUCAACAGGUAGUUUGCAAAAUUGCCUUUACCAAAUUGGCUGUAUAUAAUAUACGUGAUCGAUAUUGUAGCUGGUUCAUAUGAACCAAUUUAUUACUGCGACAUGAUAUUGUAUUACCAAAUCUGCGUUGAUUCAGCUGAUUAAGACGUUGUCAAGAAAUGUUGAACUUCUCGCAAUAAAAACGUUUUUAUUUUACUACUUAGGCUUACCUUUAUCCCCUUUUGAAAUACGUCAAAUACAUAUAUGUUUGGAGGAACAGUAUCAAACAACUAAUGAAAAUAUUCAAUUGAAUGAUUGUGAACAAAAAGGGAGUGCAUAGUUGAGAUUUUUUGUUUAUUUUACCUCCAAGAAAGCUAAUAUAUAAGGAGAAUAAACAUUUUGCAUCUUAUUCGGUCGUGAUUAAAUACUAUCCAAAAACGCAUACCUCUCGAAAAAACAGACAGAUAUAUUAGAAAGAUAAAGAAAGCUAUUAUACCGAUGAAAUUAAAUUAAUAAAAGUAA